UAAUACGUAGGGUGCAAGCGUUGUCCGGAUUUAUUGGGCGUAAAGAGCUCGUAGGCGGUCUGUCGCGUCGGAUGUGAAAACCCAAUGGCUUAACCUUGGGCCUGCAUUCGAUACGGGCAGACUAGAGUGUGGUAGGGGAGACUGGAAUUCCUGGUGUAGCGGUGGAAUGCGCAGAUAUCAGGAGGAACACCGAUGGCGAAGGCAGGUCUCUGGGCCAUAACUGACGCUGAGGAGCGAAAGCGUGGGGAGCGAACAGG
rnacentral:rRNA from 1 species